rnacentral:ncRNA from 1 species
UUUGGAAAGUGAGUGGGACAUAGUGUGAUAAAGAAAAAAUAUUUCUUUAUCGUUGCACCCCAACUUGCAUUGCCUGUAGAAUUUCUUUUCGAAAUUCUCUGUGUUGGGGCCCACACCCCAACCUGCACAUUAUCGUAAGCUGACUUUUCGUCAGCUUCUGUGUUGGGGCCCCGGACUAUAAUUGAAAAAUGCUUGUUACAAAUGCAUUUUAUUUUAGUCAACUACUAACAAUAUAACAUUGUGGAGCCCAGAACUUUGAUUAAU